GACACUCUGGACUAAGUUAAGGAUUCUUCCUUGAUCCAGAGCCCCGGAGCUGACCAAUAUCAAUGGAAGGAAGUCUGUUUUUGUUAUCUGCUCUGUUCUCGACUCCUCGGAAUGACGCACUCCCGCCGAUUGUAGCAUUCCUCCGUGGAGACCAUAUUUAUACUUAUUAUUAUUAAUGGAGCCAUAGAACCAGUAAAAAAAUGUGAAUAAUAGCUAAAGAAAGAAGGGUGAAGCAUUGUGCGACUUUGAACAUAUGUGGUAAGUAAAAAAUAAUAUUUUAAAAAUUAAAACAUUGUGUUCAUUAAGAAAUACUGAAAGUAAGUCAACAAACAAGAAAAACAAACAAAAACUC